rnacentral:rRNA from 1 species
UACGUAGGGUGCAAGCGUUGUCCGGAAUUAUUGGGCGUAAAGAGCUCGUAGGCGGUUCGUCGCGUCGGCUGUGAAAACCCGGAGCUCAACUCCGGGCCUGCAGUCGAUACGGGCGGACUUGAGUGUUGCAGGGGAGACUGGAAUUCCUGGUGUAGCGGUGAAAUGCGCAGAUAUCGGGAGGAACACCGGUGGCGAAGGCGGCGACCUGGGACAAUACUGACGCUGAGGUGCGAAAGCGUGGGGAGCAAACAGG